rnacentral:rRNA from 1 species
GAUGAACGCUGGCGGCGUGCCUAAUACAUGCAAGUCGAGCGAACGGACGAGAAGCUUGCUUCUCUGAUGUUAGCGGCGGACGGGUGAGUAACACGUGGAUAACCUACCUAUAAGACUGGGAUAACUUCGGGAAACCGGAGCUAAUACCGGAUGAUAUUUUGAACCGCAUGGUUCAAAAGUGAAAGACGGUCUUGCUGUCACUUAUAGAUGGAUCCGCGCCGCAUUAGCUAGUUGGUAAGGUAACGGCUUACCAAGGCAACGAUGCAUAGCCGACCUGAGAGGGGGUCGGGCCACACGGAAACUGAGACCCGGUCCAGAACCCUAGGGGGGGCAGAGGUAGGGAACUUUCCGAAAGGGGCGAAAGCCUGACGGAGCAACGCCGGGUGGGGGAUGAAGGGUUUGGGAUGGUAAAACUUUGUUAUUGGGGAAAAAAAUAGGUGAAAGUAACUGGGCACCUCUGGACGGAACCAAAACAGAAAACCACGGCUAACUACGG